rnacentral:misc_RNA from 1 species
CCAGCACCAGCACCAGCACCAGCCUCCGCCCCAGCGACCUCGACGACGGUGCGAGGGCACUGCCAUGGGCGCAAUAGUUCUCGAUCUCCGCCCUGGUCUUGGUAUCGGUCCCUUCUCUCUCGGGAUGCCUAUAUGCGAAGCGUUUGCCCAAAUCGAGCAGCAGCCUAACAUUUACGACGUCGUUCACGUGAAGUAUUAUGAUGAGGAGCCUCUUAAACUUGACAUUGUGAUUAGCUUUCCUGAUCAUGGUUUUCAUCUUCGGUUUGAUCCUUGGUCCCAGGUACUAAGUUAAUUUUCUUGUCAGGCAAAUUUCUUGCGUGUGUUCCCAUCUUUGUUAAUUAUUUUACAUCUUUGACAAGGAAUUUUCAUUUUGUUUGCUUUAACUUCAUAUCUCUGAAAUGUGCCCUUUAUUGUUGGCUACAUCUAAGCUAGUUUGUUUACUCUUAUUCUGGUUCUGUUAGAGACUACGCUUGAUUGAAAUUUUUGAUGUUAAACGCCUGCAAAUGCGCUAUGCCACUUCCCUUAUUGGGUAGGCUGUCUGAACUUUUUUUUUUUGGGCUUUAUUUAUGUGUUUUAUGAUUGUUGGCUGUUGUUUUAACAUUUAGGGGACCGUCCACUCUAGCUACUUUUGUAGCCGUAUAUGCACUCUUUGGGCCAACCUUUCCUGGAAUUUAUGACAAAGAUAGAGGAGUGUACACUCUGUUCUACCCGGGCCUAUCCUUUGCAUUUCCAAUUCCUAGCCAAUAUACAGAUUGCUGCCACGAUGGAGAAGCGGAACUGCCACUGGAGUUUCCAGAUGGCACUACACCAGUAACAUGUCGUGUGUCUAUAUAUGAUAGCUCUACAGAUAAAAAAGUUGGUGUCGGAUCAUUAAUGGACAAGGCUUCUGCUCCUCCACUACCUUCGGGCAGCCUUUACAUGGAAGAGGUGCAUGUUAAGCUUGGUGAAGAGUUAUAUUUUUCCACAGGGGGGCAGCAUAUUCCUUUUGGUGCAUCACCACAGGAUGUUUGGACUGAAUUAGGUCGUCCUUGUGGAAUUCAUCAAAAGCAGGUAGACCAAAUGGCCAUUCACUCUGCUUCAGACCCUCGGCCACGCACAACCCUUUGUGGAGAUUACUUCUAUAACUAUUUCACUCGUGGUUUGGACAUCUUAUUUGAUGGACAGACUCAUAAGAUCAAGAAGUUUGUUUUGCACACAAACUACCCUGGUCAUGCAGAUUUUAACUCAUAUAUAAAGUGCAACUUUGUUAUUCAAGUAAAUAAUUCAAAACAUAUUACGCCAAGCACGAAGUGGGACCAAGUUAAGGAAAUCCUUGGAGACUGUGGCCGAGCAGCUAUCCAAACACAGGGUUCUACAAGUAAUCCUUUUGGAUCCACAUUUGUUUAUGGUUACCAGAACAUUGCCUUUGAGGUGAUGAAAAAUGGUUAUAUUGCAACUGUAACUCUCUUCCAGUCUUGAUUAUUUUCCUUUCUGGUACACCUUGCUAUGCAUUUAUCUCUUUAGCAAUUCUAUGUGCUUUUUGUAUUGGUGUUUGUUUUUUUGAUCACUUUAAAUUUAGUUGAAAAUCAUCCAAAAUGUUUAACUGGAUUUGCCCCUAAUUUUUUUGAAGACCCUUAAGCUUGUAGAAUUCAAUUUCAUGGAGAAAAAAAAAUUGAACAUCUCUGUAGGGUGGAGAAUAUGAUUAAAAGAGGCUGGAUUAAGUGAGGAUUCAAUUCAUUCAUAAUAAUAAUUAGUGGGAUAUAAUAUCAAAUAUCUUAAAGGCCCUUCAGAGCAACUUUGUAAUUAAUUUAGAUAUUAUGGGAAAUUAGUUAGAUCCUGUUCAUUUUCCUUUACAAUCAGUAAAUUUAGUUGAAUGUGUCAUAUAUCCUAAUAAAAUCAUAUUGUUAAACAUAUGAAUUGAAUUACAAAAUCAUUUGAAUUGAAGUCUGCUAAAAUUGCAUUUGGAUAGUUGGGAUUUGAAAGGAAAGAAUCUGAAUGAGCUUUGCACAAAUUUUCUUUGAUUAUUAGAUUCAUGAAUGUUGGUCGGGUGUUUCCAUAAAUUGAGAUCAGAUUCAUAAGUGUGGAUGAUCAUUUGUUUGAAAAUGAAUUUACUCAAGUGGUGGAAUUUGAAUACACCCUCUAAAAUUUGGUUGGAACAUAAUUUUAUACUCUUUUACAAGUUUAAAUCACAAGUUUUGCAAUUUUAACCAACAUAAAAUCAAAUCCUUGUAUUUCAAAUUUUUAACAGCACAACCUAAUUAAUCACCAAGGUUGCAUUUGGAUACAGAAUUUGAAAUCUAAGGAUUUGAAUUUGGUCUUUAAUUCAAAUUAUAUGAACAAUGAUUUAAACUUAUGAAAAAGAGAGAUUUUAUUUUAGCAAAUCUUAGAGGGUGAUUUUGAAAAUUAUACCUUAGUAGUAUGCAUUUCAAAUUCACCAUCAAACACGUCUUAAUCAUCAUUCUUGAAACUGACCUUCUUUCAGUGGAUAUGUCCAGUUAGAGAAAAUGUAUAUAUGAUAAAUGCUAGAACUAACAUCAAUGCAAGCCCUCACCUAUCCAAACAUAUGCUUAAGUGGAACCGAAGUGAAUUCAAUUAUGUGAUCUGUUCCAAGGGGGGGUGUUUACAAUUCUUUGUGCACUAUUAUUUCAUGUUAAGAUCCAACUAGAUUGCCAUGGGUAGAACUCCUUUUUACUAUUUUGGACUGCUCUCCUCAAUUGUCACUAGUCACUAUAAUCUUGUUCUUUGUGAGUGUUUUGUUGUAGCCAAUAAUAAUACUGAUUGGAACUUCAAUAAUUUCUCAAACUUAAGUGAUGCUGUCGCUUGUAGUGGGUGGAUAUUGUUCAGUUAAUUCAGUGGAAAGCAGCGCAAGUUGCCACAUCAUCUUCACGUGGGGAUUGGGGGAGCAGUGUUGGAAUUGUGAAUAUUACUGUAUAUUGUUCAUUUGUACAUAUGAUUAAGUACCUAUCUUAUGUAAUUCUUAAUAAAUUAUGCAAGCCUGUACUUCUCAACUCUAAUUGCAUCAACACGGAUGUCUAUUUGGUGCUGAAAUUGUUCAAAUAGUUGAUCUUGCGAACGUGCUGAAAGCCCUUGGCCAUAGUUUUUAAGGAACAACUGAGCAAACAUUUUUUAUUUGAAUUAUUAGCAGGUGGUCUCAUUGACAUCUCUUAUCAAGAUAGAAUGUUAAUCUUACAAUUUUGAUCGACGUUGAUGUGCUCUGAAUAAGGUUGAAGAUUUCAUGAUCUGGGAAGCCAUUCAUGGCCAUCAAUGAAACUAAUUGAAAUAAACGGCUUGGCCUCUUGAUCAGUGAGCUCCCUAGACCAUGACACUCUUCCUCCAAAAUCUGCCCCUGGCCCUGAACACUUGUACUGUCCAUAAAAUACAGUCAUUUCCCUGUUUUUGUCUCCCCAGUCAGACCAUCCUCCAGGAGUAAUGAUCUUGUCCAUGUAAGUGUAUGCGAAGACAACUCUUGAGAAAGUGCCCCAUGCUCUGCCCAAAUAGAGAGCACCUGACCCUGUAACCUUGCAAUUGACGAAGGAGAAGCCCGUUUCUUGAAGCAAGCUUUCUCUUUUCUGUGCUGUCAAGGCCCCAAAACUAUUCGUGAUAGCAUGCAAAUGGCAAUCCUCAUAGAGUGAGAGCCCAUUUCCAAAUAUGAAAUCGACAGAACCUUCAAUGUAGCAUUCCUUGAAGUAAUGUCUGCCAAUGUGAUCAUAAAGGGUGUCUUGUGCUCCAGUGAACUUGCAGCCAAUAAAUGCGGCAGUGUCCGCUGAAAUUCGGAGCGCAACUGCCUGCUUUCCCAGAGCUCCCGAAGGUGGCGAUGGGGCCUUGUUCUAUAGUGAAGCACUUGAAAUUUUAUCAAAAAUAGCUAGCCUAAAUGACUAAUAAGCUUGAGUAGAAAGGGUAGUUCGCAAGGUAAAAUGGGUAAGGAGUGAACAGAGAAAGAAACUAGCGAAAUAAUCAUAAUAUAAAAUCAGAAAAUAUUGCAACUAAUAAAAAGAUUAUAACGCUGACCUUGAAGGUAAUGUUCUUUGCAAUAAAAUAAGGAGAAUUAAUGGCAAAUGUUGGAGAGCCAUAUGUACCCAAUGGAUGUCCUCCAUGCCCCAUUUUGUCUGCUGUAUCAUCCCACUCAAUGAUCGUCUUGUCUGCUCCAGCUCCCGUUAGGGUAAUGUAAGCCAUGCUUGCAGGAAUCUCAACCUUCUCCCUGUAAGUUCCUGCGCUAAUGGAGACAAUCACCCUGCAGUUAUUGACAACUGGUAUAGAAUUGAGAGCUUUUUGCACAGUUGUUAAACCUCCUGAGCUUAAUUUUUUGUUCACUUUUAUGGUUAAACAAGGCUUGAACUUGUUUUUGGCUUUCUGGAAGAAAGCUUGCUUGAAAGAAUCCAAUUGUUUUGCUUUUAGCCAUUUCUGGUAUCCUUCUUCAGAUGCCAUAAACCUAUUAGAAUUUGACCCAUUUGGAGUAAACAAUGAAUUUGCAAUAUUUGCAAGCAAAAACAACAUAAACAACAGCUUCAUUUUCUCUGGUUUUGGCACCCAAAAAAAAGAAAAAAGAGGACUGGGAGAAGAAAGUUGUUAAAAGAAAUAUACUUUCUAGUGGUUACUGAAAUCUUGCAACUAUGAGAAGAUAAGGAAGACGAGGUGCUUAGAAUGAGAAAUUUUGAAGACUAAGUAGAGAUAGAGAAGGGCAGAGGCGUCAGGCAGAGUAUGCCUAUACGUGCAUUCUCUCUUCUCACCGUACCCAUUGGACCUAGCAGUGAAUUUUUAACUUCUAGUAAAUUGUACUACAGCACUCUUCUCUUUUAGUCUGUUAUUGUUUUGUCAG